rnacentral:rRNA from 1 species
CAUUCGAUAGGGCAGGCUAGAGUUCGGCAGGGGAGAUUGGAAUUCCUGGUGUAGCGGUGAAAUGCGCAGAUAUCAGGAGGAACACCGGUGGCGAAGGCGGAUCUCUGGGCCGAUACUGACGCUGAGGAGCGAAAGCCUUGUGGGGAGCGAACAGGAUUAGAUACCCUGGUAGUCCACGCCGUAAACGUUGGGCACUAGGUGUGGGCGGCAUUCCACGUACGUCCGUGCCGCAGCUAACGCAUUAAGUGCCCCGCCUGGGGAGUACCAAGGCUAAAACUCAAAGGAAUUGACGGGGGCCCGCACAAGCGGCGGAACAUGUGGCUUAAUUCGACGCAACGCGAAGAACCUUACCAAGGCUUGACAUACACCGGAAAGCCGUAGAGAUACCGCCCCCCUUUGUGGUCGGUGUACAGGUGGU